GGGAUUUUAGGAUUUGGGAGGCUAACACGGGAAAACUUACCCGGCCCGGACACUGGGAGGACUGACAGAUUGAGAGCUCUCUUGAUUCGGUGGAUGGUGGUUCAUGGCCGUUCGUAGUUGGUGGAGCGAUUUGUCUGGUUAAUUGCGAUCACGAAGAAGACUCUAGCCUAUUAAAUAUGUGCGGGGUUCCCAGCACCUUACAACCUUCUUAGAGAGACAAGCGGCUCCUAACCGCAUGGAACAGAGCAAUAAAAUGUCUGUGAUGCCCUUAGAUGUCCGAGGCCGCACGCGCGCUACACUGAAGGCGGCAGCGUGUUUUUUCCCUGUCUGAAAAGACUGGGUAACCUGUGGUACUUCCUUCGUGGUUGGGAUUGGGGCUUGCAGUUGUUCCCCUUGAAAGAGGAAUUCCAACUAAGCGCGAGUCAUAAGCUCGCGUUGAUUACGUCCCUGCC
rnacentral:rRNA from 1 species